UACAUGGGGUGCAAACGUUGCUCGGAAUUAUUGGGCGUAAAGCGCACGUAGGCGGUUCGUUAAGUCGGAUGUGAAAGCCCUCGGCUCAACUGAGGAAGUGCACCCGAAACUGGCGAGCUUGAGUACGAAAGAGGAUCGCGGAAUUCCCGGUGUAGAGGUGAAAUUCGUAGAUAUCGGGAGGAACACCGGUGGCGAAGGCGGUUCUCUGGGCAUGUCCUGACGCUGAGGAGCGAAAGUGUGGGGAGCGAACAGG
rnacentral:rRNA from 1 species